GGGGGGGGGGGGGGGGGGGGCGGGGGGGGGGGGGGGGGGGGGGGGGGGGGGGGGGUGGCUGGGCUGGGGUGAGCGGGGGGGGGGUGGGGAACACGUGGAGAACCGACCUCUAAGAGGGGGAUACCUUCGGGGAACCGGGGCUACUAACGGGUAAUGUAUGGAACCGCAGGGUUCAAGAGUGAAAGACGGUUUUGCUGUCACUUAUCGAUGGAGCCGCGCCGGAUUAGCUAGUUGGUGAGGUAACGGCUUACCAAGGCGACUAUGCGUAGCCGACCUGAGAGGGUGAUCGGCCACACUGGAACUGAGACACGGUCCAGACUCCUACGGGAGGCAGCAGUAGGGAAUCUUCCGCAAUGGGCGAAAGCCUGACGGAGCAACGCCGCGUGAGUGAUGAAGGUCUUCGGAUCGUAAAACUCUGUUAUUAGGGAAGAACAAAUGUGUAAGUAACUAUGCACGUCUUGACGGUACCUAAUCAGAAAGCCACGGCUAACUACGUG
rnacentral:rRNA from 1 species